ACUGGGCGUAAAGAGCUCGUAGGUGGUUUGUCGCGUUGUUCGUGAAAUCUCACGGCUUAACUGUGAGCGUGCGGGCGAUACGGGCAGACUUGAGUACUGCAGGGGAGACUGGAAUUCCUGGUGUAGCGGUGGAAUGCGCAGAUAUCAGGAGGAACACCGGUGGCGAAGGCGGGUCUCUGGGCAGUAACUGACGCUGAGGAGCGAAAGCGUGGGGAGCGAACAGGAUUAGAUACCCUGGUAGUCCACGCCGUAAACGGUGGGUACUAGGUGUGGGUUUCCUUCCUUGGGAUCCGUGCCGUAGCUAACGCAUUAAGUACCCCGCCUGGGGAGUACGGCCGCGAGGCUAAAACUCAAAGAAAUUGACGGGGGCCCGCACAAGCGGCGGAGCAUGUGGAUUAAUUCGAUGCAACGCGAAGAACCUUACCUGGGUUUGACAUGCACAGGACGCCGGCAGAGAUGUCGGUUCCCUUGUGGCCUGUGUGCAGGUGGUGCAUGGCUGUCGUCAGCUCGUGUCGUGAGAUGUUGGGUUAAGUCCCGCAACGAGCGCAACCCUUGUCUCAUGUUGCCAGCGGGUAAUGCCGGGGACUCGUGAGAGACUGCCGGGGUCAACUCGGAGGAAGGUGGGGAUGACGUCAAGUCAUCAUGCCCCUUAUGUCCAGGGCUUCACACAUGCUACAAUGGCCGGUACAAAGGGCUGCGAUGCCGCGAGGUUAAGCGAAUCCUUUUAAAGCCGGUCUCAGUUCGGAUCGGGGUCUGCAACUCGACCCCGUGAAGUCGGAGUCGCUAGUAAUCGCAGA
rnacentral:rRNA from 1 species